rnacentral:tRNA from 1 species
AUUAAAAUAGCUUAAUAAGAGUGUAGCACUGAAGAUGCUAAGGUGAUAAAUAAUCUUUUAAUA